rnacentral:lncRNA from 1 species
CUUUCCUGUCCUACUCUGUCCCUUUGACACACCAUCCUUGUGCUAAUUUAUUUGCUUUGGCAUUUCCUCUUUUCCUGGCUGCCCAGGCUAUUCUGGGUUGUGUUUGUCCUGUCCCAACCUUAUGGCUGGGCAUUUUUUAAAGAGCCUGGUUCCUGUCACUGGACAUAGAGUACGGAACCAAGACCUGGGUCUGAAUGUCACCUUGGUCCUCACAGCUGACAGAACUAGAAAACAUGUGUGCCUGCUUACUAUGUAGACACAUAUCCCACCAUCAUGUCUUUACAGUUACAUAUAACAUGGAAUUGUUUUCUCUGUGCAGAUUUGCUUUCCCCAGCUCAUUGUUUUCUUGUGUCAUACCAUCACAUCCCACAACAACUCUGUGAGGUCCCAACUAUUAAUUUUAAUAAUUUUAACUUAUUAUAUAACUUCAACUUAUUUUCUUAUAUGUUUAUUUUGAGACAGGGCCUUGCUGUGCAGUCCCUUGUGCUCUGGGGUAACACAUGUGUGCCACCAUCGGCUGGGUUACCAUCCCUUUUAGAGAGAUGGAAACUGAGACCUUAAGCAAUCUGCACAGGAGGGUAACAGGCCACCAUGGAUCUGGUCAUGAUGAUGAUGACAACCUAGUUCCAGGUGUCUGAGCAGUAGGGGACCCCAUUCAGAGCUCAGGGAGGUGAGUGAGUUUUGGGAUAACUGGUGUGGUGUCAUGAUUGUAGGCAGAACAGUAGUGUGGCUUGGGGGAGCCCAGAGCAAAGACCCCUAACGCAGAUGUAGUGCUGAACCUCAGGAAAGAACUGGAACCAGGCUAGCCAGAAAGAAGCCAUGAAGAAGCUAUAAGUGGUUGAUGUAAAAACUAAAAACCAAAACAAAAUGUCAGGCCAUUGGGCAUAGAUAGCCACUGUCUCCAAGGUGCUCCCUUUAGCCAACUGUAGAGAAGCAGAUUGUCAGUAAGGGACAUUCCAAUAUCUGCUCCCACCCCCAGGCCAGGAGGGGCCGGGUGGCUCACUCUUGCCUCAGACAGGGAAGACAGAUUUCAUCACUUCCAAGUCUAUGUGCUCAGAGUGAGCAGAGACUGGAGGAGGCAGCUGCACAAAAGAUAGGGGAAGCCCAGACAGAGCAAGCAGUAGGGAUCUUUUGCCGUGGUGAGUUGAGACAGGCAUUCCUAUGACAAACCAAUAGUUAUUAAGCAUCACCAGCCUACCCCAUGGUCAUUAAGAGAGGGCUCAUGCCUUUGCCUCCC